rnacentral:lncRNA from 1 species
UUGGAUUAUCUGUUUUUUUAACAGAGGAGAAAACUCGAGGGAGCUCCAGCCUGAGAAAUCCCAGCGAGUUCUGGGGAUUAACACGUGGCCUUCCAGGCGGGGAUGUUGGAGGCAAAAUCCUUGGGAAAUGCCAGAGCUCUGCUAACAGCACUCCUGCAGAGCCUGCCAACAGGAAUGUUUUCCACACAAAGAUGCAGCAGCAUGUGUUUCAGACAGGAAUUUUGAACUUACGAGCGCUCGCCUCAGAAACCUGAGGAGUCUGAUGUGAUUAAGAAGCAGAUCCACAUCACCUGGCUUGUUUGCAGUCAAAACAUUCCCAGGUCGGAAUCAGGAACAUCACGGAGCCCCAGAGGGAUCAUCCAGCAGCUCCUGGCUGAGGGGAGUGUCCCAGUUCCCAAAUUCAGCCCGGCAUUAAUCCACCCAGCAAGCAAGGCCAGGCAGGCAGUGCUGGGAGCACAGAGUUAGCCAGCACAGCCAGGGAGGUUCACAAAGCCCCAGACUGAGGAGAGGAAAGCUUUAAAGUGAAAAAACCCUGCAGAAGGGAUGAUCAGAGCACUGUGGGAUGCUGAGCCUGGAGGAAAUGCUGGGAGAGGCUCAGGCGGGUGGUGAUGGUUGCCUGCUCUUGGCCUGGCCCACCCUGUAAACUCUGAUCCAGCUCUGGAGCCCAGCACGACCUUGCUCAGAGCUUUUCUCAGGUAUGCUGCAGCAAAGGCACCAUCAGCUCUGAACACCUGGGUGUGGAAGCCCUCAGAGCAGGAUAAAUGGCACCAUUCUGGGCAGAAAUGGUGGGGAGGAGCAGGAGGAUGCUCAGCAGCACAGCAGAAAAUGGAAAAUGA